rnacentral:lncRNA from 1 species
UGCAGGGGGUUAUCGGAAUAAGAACAAAAGGAGGUCCACAUGUCAGAAUUAGAGAGAAGACCUCAUCAGUAACUCAGAAAUACUCUAGAAGACAAGAGAAGGCAACCCUGCCAUGUGGAGCCUGUUUGGCAGCCACACAGGGGCGCUCGCUCUUGAGGCUUGGGCGGCCACCUGGCCCCUAUGGUCAAUCAGCUUCAACCUC